AUCAGGUCUUAAAUAAAUUUUAAUAACUAAAACUAAUAAAAAUAUAUUUACAAAAUGUCUUCUCUCUUCCCACUCUCAUAUCUUUCCCAACAUUUCUGUCUUCUCUCUCUACCGACUCUCAUCUCUCUCUCUCUAAAAUCACCGCUUCCUGCCAUUCUCUCUCUCUCUCUCUACACCAACCCUUCUUUGGCAAACAACUCCAGUGUUGAGGCACGACAUCAAAGUGGAUGCACGGAUGUGUCUCUUCGCCUAAGUGGAUGAGCUAGGAUGGUCACACCGUCGGUGGAGUUGAGGCGCGGCGAUAUGGACUAAACUCUUAUUCGGCGUUUCUGAUUACAGCAACGAUUUGGACUUUUUGUGCAGUGUUACGGACUUUUGUGUGGUUUUACGGAUCGUAUGAUUUUUUGGUAAAUUUUUCGACAUGUUUUGUUGUGAUUUUUGAGAUGAUUAUUGUGCUGUGGUGGUGGUGACGGCUUGUUUGUGGGUUUUUUUGGUGGGGAUGGUGGUUGGGUACGGUUUAAAUGGAGAGAGGAGAGAUGGUGGUGGUGGUGUUCUGGGGGUGGUGCGGUGGUGGUGGCGGCGGGUUUGUGGAAUUUUUGGUGGUGGUGGUGGUGGUUGGGUGUGGUUUAAAUGGAGAUAGAGGAGAUGGUGGUGGUGAGGUCGGCGGUGGCAGCAGAGACACGGUGGAUGAGGAAGGCCAAUGUAGUGCCAGAUAAUUGAAUCUUCUCAAUUGAAAAGUCCUCCAUUACUUCGAUUGUGUGUUUGCUGGUAGAAGAGAAGGAAAGAGAGAUCUUGCCUCUUUUAAGCAAUUGUCACAAAUUUACGGUUGGCAAAAAUGUAGUGGCCUGUCCUUCAUCCAGCCUUGUCUUCUGGGGCUAGAAAACAUCAUUUUUAUCUCGAUUAUUACUUUGAAACAGGAGCAAAUUAUGAUACGGGUCGCGAUGAGUGCAUAUUUGUUUGUGGUGACCCCAUGUGACCAAAUUUGUAUUUGUUGUGACUAUUUGUGACGAAUUUUGUGUUGAUUGUGAUAUGAGAUUGACCUUCUCACAGACAGUCACACUGAAUGUAAUUUUGGUCAUUGUUAGUCACAUCGAAAACAGAGUUGGUCACGGUUAAUCACAGAUAAUGUGGGUCAAUAAAUUGAUUACAUACAAUCACAAAUUAAACGAUCACAUAGAGUCACACUGAAAAUAAUUUCGAUCACAAAUAGUUACAUAUAAUUCAUCUUAUCUGAUUAGGUCAAAGAUCUAAUAAAAUUGGUUACAUGUCACAGAUUUAAUGAAACUGAU
rnacentral:lncRNA from 1 species